AAUUCGAAGCAACGCGCAGAACCUUACCAUCCUUUGACAUGGCGUGUUACCCAGAGAGAUUUGGGGUCCACUUCGGUGGCGCGCACACAGGUGCUGCAUGGCUGUCGUCAGCUCGUGUCGUGAGAUGUUGGGUUAAGUCCCGCAACGAGCGCAACCCACGUCCUUAGUUGCCAUCAUUCAGUUGGGCACUCUAGGGAGACUGCCGGUGAUAAGCCGCGAGGAAGGUGUGGAUGACGUCAAGUCCUCAUGGCCCUUACGGGAUGGGCUACACACGUGCUACAAUGGCGGUGACAGUGGGACGCGAAGGAGCGAUCUGGAGCAAAUCCCCAAAAGCCGUCUCAGUUCGGAUUGCACUCUGCAACUCGAGUGCAUGAAGGCGGAAUCGCUAGUAAUCGUGGAUCAGCAUGCCACGGUGAAUACGUUCCCGGGCCUU
rnacentral:rRNA from 1 species